AUGACCCGCUUGCAUCAUAGGCGUGUCUCAAUGGCUAGGUCGAACAGGUCUUCUUCUAGUGCCUCCAUAGGAAACAAUGGAUCAACUCAGUCAACUGUACAGGCUAAAAAGCCUAGAACACCAAGAACUAGGACUUCAGCCGGUCUCAGACUAGAGGAAAUUGACCGACCGCUUAUAGUUCCCGUUGGCAUGGCAUGGGAAAGGCACCCAUACAACGCUCGUGAUCCAUCAAUGGUGCUAGGUGCCUUAGUGCGCCAGAUGUAUCCACCGCCAAUUGGUCCAAAAAAUGAUCAGAAACCGGUAUUGUGUUGGGAGGACUACAAGUGGUCCCCUGGUCCAGAAGUAAGAACAGCAGCUUCCAAAAUAGUGGAAGAUUUUUGGUGGCGUUUCAAGUGUGACCCAUCGGAGCAAGAGAAGGCAGAUGGUGUUUUGGAGGAGAACUUAACUAGGAAAGUGAAGCAGAUGCUACAUGAGGAAAAGGCGGCAGCCAUCAAAAGAUUAAAGAAGAAGGGACAAUUGCCUACAGAACUAACAGAAGAGGAUGAGGAUGGUAACCGCUGGCCAACUAAGGAAGCUUUAAUUUCUGCAAAGAGAGUUGACUUUGGUAUAGACGUUGGUUGGCGUCUACUAUGUGAGCACUGGAGUAGUACUGAAUUUAGAGGGUUAUCUUUAACCAACAAAAGGAACAGACUUGCUAAUGGGGACACGGUCUUCCAUUGCAGUGGUGCUAGAAAUGUUGUCGCCACACGUCAAUUUCUGAAACUCAAAACCGGGAAAGACCCUGGAAUUUCUGGUGCUUGGCUUCACACGCACAAAUUGCAUCGAGGGACUGAUGAAGAGCAGAUAUGCAGUCAAAGAACUGCUGAUCAUUGGGAGGAUUUUGAUAAGGCAAUGAAAAAUGCCCAUGGAGAAAAUUGGGAAGAGGAGCACCCGGAUUUAGAUGGACAAAUCAUCUACGAAGCAGCAGGCAGAAUGCCACAUGGCAGGCUGGGAAUUGCUAAUGAGUUGUUUAGCAAAGCAGAGAAGGCGAAGUUUAAGUCUAAAAGGGCGAUGGCCUCACAGCCGGUGCAAUCUGCUAAGGAGGAGCGUCUAGAAAGAGAAAACAAAUAUUUGAAGCAGGAGAUCAAGCGUCUUCGAGGCAUUGAGCUUGUUGUUCAGUCUUUGGCUGAGAAAGGGGGAGUCGACUUUGAUGGCAUAAUGCAAUCAGCAACAGAUGACUUGUCUCCAUCAUAUUCUGAAGGCGGAUUUCAAAGGGGACGAGGUGAUGUGCCUCAACACCAAACCGAAAAGGGAAUGGGAAGCAGGACUGGAGGCAGUACGAGUCAUGGAAAUGAUGAUGAGGACGACGACUAUGGCAAUGGGGGAUAUGGUAACUAUGGCGAGGGUGAUCUGUAUGGUGAUGAGCACUAUGAUCACUAUGGUGAUGGGGAAUAUGAUGACUAUGGAGAUGAGGAUGACUAUGGGUAUGGCUAUGGCGGUGGCGAUGGCGAUGAUGAUGAUUGGCUAUAA
rnacentral:rRNA from 1 species